rnacentral:tRNA from 1 species
AUUUCUAUAGUAUAUAUAAUACAUAAUUUUUUCAUAAUUAAAAUGGAUUAAUUAAUCCUUGAAAUG